rnacentral:rRNA from 1 species
UACGGAGGGUGCGAGCGUUAAUCGGAAUUACUGGGCGUGAAGCGUGCGUAGGCGGUUUGAUAAGUCGGGUGUGAAAGCCCCGGGCUUAACCUGGGAAUUGCAUUCGAUACUGUCUGACUCGAGUCUGGGAGAGGGAAGCGGAAUUCCGGGUGUAGCGGUGAAAUGCGUAGAUAUCCGGAGGAACAUCAGUGGCGAAGGCGGCUUCCUGGCCUAAGACUGACGCUGAGGUACGAAAGCGUGGGGAGCAAACAGG